AUCCAGCUGACGAGUCUCAAACAGGAAGAAACACGCGUCCUGGAU
rfam:Schistosoma haematobium scaffold575_45, whole genome shotgun sequence.